UGCACGGUGGCGUAGUUGGUAGCACUGUUGCCUUGCAGCAAGAAGGCAACAGUGCUGGGUUCGAUUCCCGGCCGGGGGUCUUUCUGCAU